GGGUUGUGAGGUUAAGCGACUAAGCGUACACGGUGGAUGCCCGGCAGUCAGAGGCGAUGAAGGACGUGCUAAUCUGCGAAAAGCGUCGGUAAGGUGAUAUGAACCGUUAUAACCGGCGAUGUCCGAAUGGGGAAACCCAGUGCAAUUCGUUGCACUAUCGUUAACUGAAUACAUAGGUUAACGAGGCGAACCGGGGAACUGAAACAUCUAAGUACCCCGAGGAAAAGAAAUCAACCGAGAUUCCCCAGUAGCGGCGAGCGAACGGGGAGCAGCCCAGAGUCUGAAUCAGCUUGUGUGUUAGUGGAACGGUCUGGAAAGUCCGACGGUACAGGGUGAUAGUCCCGUACACCAAAAUGCACAGGCUGUGAACUCGAAGAGUAGGGCGGGGGACACGUGGUAUCCUGUCUGAAUAUGGGGGACCAUCCUCCAAGGCUAAAUACUCCUGACUGACCGAUAGUGAACCAGUACCGUGAGGGAAAGGCGAAAAGAACCCCGGCGAGGGGAGUGAAAAAGAACCUGAAACCGUGUACGUACAAGCAGUGGGAGCACCUUCGGGUGUGACUGCGUACCUUUUAUAUAAUGGGUCAGCGACUUAUAUUCUGUAGCAAGGUUAACCGUAUAGGGGAGCCGCAGGGAAACCGAGUCUUAACUGGGCGUUAAGUUGCAGGGUAUAGACCCGAAACCCGGUGAUCUAGCCAUGGGCAGGUUGAAGGUUGGGUAACACUAACUGGAGGACCGAACCGACUAAUGUUGAAAAAUUAGCGGAUGACUUGUGGCUGGGGGUGAAAGGCCAAUCAAACCGGGAGAUAGCUGGUUCUCCCCGAAAGCUAUUUAGGUAGCGCCUCGUGAAUUCAUCUUCGGGGUAGAGCACUGUUUCGGCUAGGGGUCAUCCCGACUUACCAACCCGAUGCAAACUACGAAUACCGAAGAAUGUUAUCACGGGAGACACACGGCGGGUGCUAACGUCCGUCGUGAGGGAAAACAACCCAGACCGCCAGCUAAGGUCCCAAAGUCAUGGUUAAGUGGGAAACGAUGUGGGAAGGCACAGACAGCCGGGAUGUUGGCUUAGAAGCAGCCAUCAUUUAAAGAAAGCGUAAUAGCUCACUGGUCGAGUCGGCCUGCGCGGAAGAUGUAACGGGGCUAAACCAUGCACCGAAGCUGCGGCAGCGACACUAUGUGUUGUUGGGUAGGGGAGCGUUCUGUAAGCCUGCGAAGGUGACCUGUGAGGGUUGCUGGAGGUAUCAGAAGUGCGAAUGCUGACAUAAGUAACGAUAAAGCGGGUGAAAAGCCCGCUCGCCGGAAGACCAAGGGUUCCUGUCCAACGUUAAUCGGGGCAGGGUGAGUCGACCCCUAAGGCGAGGCCGAAAGGCGUAGUCGAUGGGAAACAGGUUAAUAUUCCUGUACUUGGUGUUACUGCGAAGGGGGGGACGGAGAAGGCUAUGUUAGCCGGGCGACGGUUGUCCCGGUUUAAGCAUGUAGGCUGGUUAUCCGUGCAAAUCCGGAUAAUCAAGGCUGAGGUGUGAUGACGAGGCACUACGGUGCUGAAGUAACAAAUGCCCUGCUUCCGGAAAAGCCUCUAAGCAUCAGGUAACAUCAAAUCGUACCCCAAACCGACACAGGUGGUCAGGUAGAGAAUACCAAGGCGCUUGAGAGAACUCGGGUGAAGGAACUAGGCAAAAUGGUGCCGUAACUUCGGGAGAAGGCACGCUGGUGUGUAGGUGAAGUCCCUGCGGAUGGAGCUGAGACCAGUCGAAGAUACCAGCUGGCUGCAACUGUUUAUUAAAAACACAGCACUGUGCAAACACGAAAGUGGACGUAUACGGUGUGACGCCUGCCCGGUGCCGGAAGGUUAAUUGAUGGGGUUAUCCGUAAGGAGAAGCUCUUGAUCGAAGCCCCGGUAAACGGCGGCCGUAACUAUAACGGUCCUAAGGUAGCGAAAUUCCUUGUCGGGUAAGUUCCGACCUGCACGAAUGGCGUAAUGAUGGCGGGCUGUCUCCACCCGAGACUCAGUGAAAUUGAACUCGCUGUGAAGAUGCAGUGUACCCGCGGCAAGACGGAAAGACCCCGUGAACCUUUACUAUAGCUUGACACUGAACAUUGAGCCUUGAUGUGUAGGAUAGGUGGGAGGCUUUGAAGCGUGGACGCCAGUCUGCGUGGAGCCAACCUUGAAAUACCACCCUUUAAUGUUUGAUGUUCUAACGUUGGCCCCUUACCGGGGUUGCGGACAGUGUCUGGUGGGUAGUUUGACUGGGGCGGUCUCCUCCCAAAGCGUAACGGAGGAGCACGAAGGUUAGCUAAUCUGGUCGGACAUCAGGAGGUUAGUGCAAUGGCAUAAGCUAGCUUGACUGCGAGCGUGACGGCGCGAGCAGGUGCGAAAGCAGGUCAUAGUGAUCCGGUGGUUCUGAAUGGAAGGGCCAUCGCUCAACGGAUAAAAGGUACUCCGGGGAUAACAGGCUGAUACCGCCCAAGAGUUCAUAUCGACGGCGGUGUUUGGCACCUCGAUGUCGGCUCAUCACAUCCCGGGCUGAAGUAGGUCCCAAGGGUAUGGCUGUUCGCCAUUUAAAGUGGUACGCGAGCUGGGUUUAGAACGUCGUGAGACAGUUCGGUCCCUAUCUGCCGUGGGCGCUGGAGAAUUGAGGGGGCUGCUCCUAGUACGAGAGGACCGGAGUGGACGCAUCACUGGUGUUCGGGUUGUCAUGCCAAUGGCACUGCCCGGUAGCUAAAUGCGGAAGAGAUAAGUGCUGAAAGCAUCUAAGCACGAAACUUGCCCCGAGAUGAGUUCUCCCUGAGACUUUAAGUCUCCUGAAGGAACGUUGAAGACGACGACGUUGAUAGGCCGGGUGUGUAAGCGCAGCGAUGCGUUGAGCUAACCGGUACUAAUGAACCGUGAGGCUUAAACCUUACAACGCCGAAG
rnacentral:rRNA from 1 species